rnacentral:lncRNA from 1 species
GGCUCUAAAAAAAGUGGGGUGGAGAAAAGCAGAGAAAGAAGACACAAAGAAAAAACAAAACCUCCAGAAACCUACUAUGUGAAGCAUAUGGCCAAAACAGCCACAGCUGGAGCUCAGGAAAAGGAACCACGGAGGUGUGCAGGCACCAGACCCAUCCACUUUCAGAGAUGUGCUCCAAAACUCUACAGGAAAGAAGCUGCCCAGAACUGCAGAAUAACGUACUACCAAUUUCAGCACACUCUUUCCUUGCUAUGUCAGGUAUCUGAAGAGCAUGCAUACUGCCCCAUAUUAGCAGCAACCAAAUCUAAAUUAUAUACUCUUAACAAACCACUAGAAUGCCAAUG